CUGGUUGCAUAAAAUCCACAUUUUCUGUUUUAACCUUACUUUUUUGUUUACUUGUCAAAAUUCCAGAAUUUUCAUGUUCUUUAAGAUUAGAAUUUAAAUCUGUACAAUGUCAGAUGAAAAUGCAUCACCUACAGUUAAUAAGGACGAUGAAAAGAACCGGGAAAAAGUUAAAUCCAGAGCGAUAGUAAAGUAUUCCGCCCCAAAACCUGCUACUUUUGCUAAACUUCAAUACAAUACUGAUCUGAAUUUGUCCAUUCCGUGAGGUACAUGAGAGACAAAUAUACAAGAAAUAAGUAUAACCAUUCACCUAAUGAAAUUAGAGUAAACGGUCCCCUAAGAAAUCUGGAGGAAUUUGCUUAUGAUUUCGGUUGUCCUGUUGGUUCAUACAUGAAUCCAGUCAAAAAAUGCCAUAUUUGGUGAUUUUAUCACCAAAUCACUGAUUAUAUUAUAAUUAUAAUUUAUAUGUAUUAUUGUAUAAAGCACUUGACUUUUAUAGUUUUAAUUCUAAAAACGUUUAAAAACUUUAUAAAUAAACAUUUUACAACUAA